rnacentral:tRNA from 1 species
AAAGAAUUAGUUAAUUCAUAACAUUAGUAUGUCAAACUAAAAUUAUUAAUAUUUUUAAUAUUCUUUA